AUCCUAGAAUUAAUCAGAAUGAUAUUGGUUCCCAAUAUAAUCAACCAGUGGAAGUGCAUAAUGGUCGGCAAAUUGAAGUAGAAGGGAGAUUAGGGACUGGUCAGGAGGUCCAUGGAGACGCUGGCAAAAAAAUUUCUGCUGGUGCACGAGAACAUCAUGAGCUAAAACAUGAUGUGCUCGCAAACGAAAUUCUGCUGGUGCACGAGAACAACAUGACCUAAAACAUGGUGUACUUCCAGCAUCUGCCAAGGAGAACAAAGGGCAAAAGUCCAGUUUUGCUGCUGAGGUAAAUGAUAGGCAUAAG
rnacentral:lncRNA from 1 species